rnacentral:lncRNA from 1 species
UGAAAACAUCACCUUAGUACGUGAUGAAUGCAACGGAGCAAAUGAGUGAGGGCGGAUUGUGCAGUAUUGGAGACAGGCACGUCCAGGAGAGAGGGGAACGCGCGCGGCCCUCGCAGGGCCGGCAGCCCUGAUCACAAGCCUCGCCAGCUUUGACCAGCGCCCGCAGGCUGCAUCGGAAGCAUCUGGAGAAAUAUUUGAUGGAACACCCCGUAAUUAGAUGGACUGGCUUAAUUAGGAGAAGUUUGCGGGCAGAGGGAAGCCGGGGGGUCUGUGCUGGGAUCUGAAGGUUUGCAGCCUCGUCCCAGGAGGCCCGGGGCACAAAGCUCUGCCCGCUGAGCGCGCACGCGCUGCUGUGUCUGCACAUCCAAGGCGGCCCCGUGGGGUCUGCGAAUCCAAGCUGGGGGCCAGGGGCCUGCCCCCCGGCAACAGCAUUGCCAAAACGACAGCAGCCACGCUGCAUCAUCCGAUGCCCCCACCGCGCGUGUAGUCUAACAAGGCGGACAGGAUGAAAACUCGAUGCAGUCGCCCUGUGGAAGCUGGCUGUGGGAGGCAUUUUUCUGAGACUGGGAAGAGGAUUCUAGGUAUUGUGGCUUGAGCACGCACAAUAUGAGGGAAGAAUCGGACGGAACGUUUCCACCAUCUGGAACCACAGCAGCCAGAAGCAGAAAGGAGAGAUAAAUGCAGGACAGAGACAUGAUGAAAAAACAAACUUCAGAGACAACCCAAAUUCUCCAAUCUGUUGAAAAAGUUCUGGAGGUGAUGGUGGUGAUGAUUGCACAACAAUGUGACGGCACUGAAUGCCACUGAACUGUACACUCAAAAAAGUUAAGAUGGUAAAGUUUAUGUUUUACAUUUUACCACAAUAAAAACAUGAAAAAC